AAACAUUACAGCUCCUUUAGAAUUUGUCUCAUAGGUUUUCUGAUUCUCACUGGAAAACCUCC
ensembl:snRNA U7 U7 small nuclear RNA